rnacentral:tRNA from 1 species
GGGCCCAUAGCUCAGGGGUUAGAGCUGCCGGCUCAUAACCGGUUGGUCCUUGGUUCGAAUCCAAGUGGGCCCA